CAGCGUCAUCCGCAGCUAAACAGGCCGCGAGCGAACGAACCGCACUCAGCCGAAGGGAAGACGAACAAAGUCAGACAGAAAGAUAGGCACGUAGAGCAAAAGCAGGCCGGACCGAUGAGCCUGCCAGAGCACAACCUCUCUCGAAGGUGCAGGAGGCGGUAGGUGCAGCUUUUCUCCACCCGCUGACUAUGUGUUCCUCUCCGUUGUUGAACCAAUAGCUACUGUAGUUGGAGCCGCUGCGCUGCUGCUGUUACCGUCGCUGUUGCCGCUGAAAAGAAAAGUACGUAGUGACAGUGAGCCAGUGUAAGCGACAAUAUCUCGAGAAGGCAACGAAACUAAAGGCGAACGGGCUGAGUUUUUCGGUGGGAGUUGUUUUAUUUGAAGUGGUAGUAGCACCAACAGAAGGCGAAUACGCCGCUAACAAGCAGGUGACGACCACCGACGAAAUCUAACGAACUAAACUGAGCUACGAAAGUGUAGCUCUAUAAAAAAACGUCGAUGUAGUACGCGACGCAGUAAAUCAGGGAUCAGCACCUGGUCUACAUCCGAAGAGUCUUUCACCAUGAUCGUGAACCACUAUCAGCGUUUUUGUCGUUUGUCGAAGAAGUGCACGACUGGCUGUUCUGCGCCGAUGGUUUUAAUAACGUCGAUGUUAUCGAAGCAACGAUAAGUUUUCGUGACACGAUCAGAAAAUCCGAGAUCGUCACAGCCAUUACUGUGAAACUGUGUUUUCAUAGUUGUUUUCGUUCAGGCUGGUGUCGUGAAUAGGGAUCGAUCAUUCAAACAGUUGACAAGCGGUGUCCUUGUAUCACUUGUGCCUAAUGGGAAGAGCACAGCGGACGUCGGAGUGGUCCUGGUAAAAGGGUUUGAGGCUACAAACGAAGCGGGUACUACGUUUCGCACGAAUUGAUGGUCCCAUUGAGAUUCUGCAGGAUUAGUUACUCGGUACCAACACUGAGCGAAAUCCCGGAGUUCUAGUGGCGAGCGCUGGAUAUCUCAACUGAACGCCCGCGUAACUACAGGAACAGAAGUUGAACCAUAAAUACCUUUUAGAAAGUUCCAAUUGUUCGUAUUACAAGUCUAGCUCUACCUAAACACAACAAGUUCUAAGUAUCCAAUUACCACGACUACUCAACUAUUUGGUCCUUAAUCCAAAUUUAACAAUAGCUAUAUGGCCUACCGUGUUGUGGACAAAUGGUCGUCGCGCAAAUCGUCGACAAUGACGCAAUAAAAUCAAAGCCCUCCUCCAGUGCUUGCUCCCAUAGCUGCCACUAGUUACAACAGGUGGUUGUUGCGACCCCCAAGCAGGCCGAAACCGUUACUGCUCAACACCGAGUUUUACUGAGAGCGCUUCUAGGACAUCGGCCAGUAAAGUUGAACCAGGCUCGCACAGCAAAGCAACUCAGGUCGCUGUUGAGAGUAGGUCGAGCCUAUUGGCGAGUGCAGAACGUCGAAAGGAAUGGAAACUAAAAUGAUGUUUUCGACGACAGUGUUUUUUCAUUGACGACGUCAAGAGCACCGUUAUAAGAGCGAUUAUCUACAUCAAUUGAGUAUAGAAUCGUCAUUACCGACGCUUGCACCCAAUUGCUAUUUUCCUUCGUUUCGCACAGAUCCUCAAAACUUAUUUGAAUCGACCACUGAUAGCAGUAGCAAGUAUCGCUAUUACUACACAAAUUCACUACCCUGCAAUUUCGAUUUUGGCUAUUAUUGCAGGCAUCGACAUCAACUGUCGUCAAUCGUUGGCCCCUUCAAUCAAUAUCGCAGUCAACGUCGUUAACUCCAACAGUUCCAGUGCAAAAGCAAAAAUCUUCAUUGUCACUCACUUCCGCUUUUACUAAACACGAUAAAACAGUGUGACUUCACGCUACGUUCACCGAAGUGGUUACACACAAUAGGCUGCUUAGUCAGACGUUUGAUCGAAUCAGCGAGUUACGAAUAACCAGGAUUACCCAGCAGCGUGAACAGCAAAGUUAUAUGUUAUCGUCACGCAUCAGUGGACUGAGCAUUACGACCUCCGCACUUCACGAUCCUCGCACCUCGCACGAGAUUCUAGCUGCUCCUCGUAUGAGGUGGUCCCAUUCACUGAAGAUCGCGGACCACUACAAGUGCUAGCAUAUCUUUGCAGAAGUUCAAAUAGUGCGGCUGUGUUCUGUUUUCGUAGGAAUGCGUUCAUUCGUUUAUGGGUUACAGUUAUAUUGAUACGAUGCUGGUAAACGGAAAAAGCUGGUAGUCCUAUAGAGUAACGACACCAGUGGAAGGUGUUGUGAGAAGGCUCUCGCGGGACGUCACUCUCAUUACCAACGCUAUUUCGGCCAUCAUGGUUGUCACAUUGUCGUCCAAAUUUUCCUAGUAGCCGUAUGAAAAGUAAGUUAAAAGUGUUGAGUGAUGAGUAGAUUCAUCGACAUUGCCCAAACAGUUACAGAGCCGACAAGCUACAACGAAGAAGCUGGAUUGAUCGUUUUGACAAAAACAGUGAUAGAGGAGGUCGCUGUGGUCGAAAAAGCAGCUGCGAUAAUUGUGGUUGCGGGAACAACGAACUGCCACCUGUAGCUUAGCCAAAGCCAUCGGUGGCACCACCUGUCGGGUGACGCCUGCUACAAACGCAAAGGACCAACGCAACGUUAAGUGCUCGAGCUACUGGGGUGAACUUCAACACCGUGCGCGGCUUCAUCCGACUGCGUACAGCUGGUGGGGUUAUGCUACAGUAAUAAAAAGUGUUAUACAGCUUGCUCGAUUCAGCCCCAUCUUUAGCAGCGAGGUGGUCAAGGCAAGAUCAGUCCGGUGGGCGGGUGUUGUUUGUUCAAUCAAACGACAACAAGAGAAGACAUCCCAAUCUGAAAACAGGAGGUAAAUCAGAACCUAAUAUUAUGAUUACUAUUACAUUUGGAGUAGAUUUGAAGCAAUAAAGAAGUCGCCUCUGCAACUGCGUGAAAAGUAAGGAGGAGUUGAUGAGAAACUCCGAUCCGCUUGUUUGGGACCAGAGGCCAGCUGAGCACAAUGCCACUGCCGGCGACGAUGACCGCCGAGCCGCGAAAAGGAGCUUGCGCGAGCAGGUAUGGUCCGGUUUGGGCAGCUGGUGGGUGACGGCCUUUGUCGUCCUGCUGUCUGCCAUCGAAGCCUUUAUUGUUAUUGCACUCGCUCUCUUCGACCUCAGCUUCAUUCAGGAGCCCCAGGACGCCAGGAUGUUAGCAGCGGAGCGAAACGUGAGCUGCAGAUUGCUGGUAGCCGGUCCUGCGAAUGCGAUAUCGCUCCUACCUGUUCCCGGUACAACCAGGGAACCAAGUUCUGCCGUCGACGUUGGUGAAACCGGGACAAGCUCAUCGGAGUUCCCAGAUCAGAUGCUUGUAAGGGCAGCUCUAGGCUCUAUGUCGCUCAUUAUCGGAGCGUUGUUCAUCAUCGAAAUGGUGCUCAAACUUGUCGCUGGCGGAAACCGUUUCUACACCGACUUCGUUGAGAUGGCGGACUGCGUCGUGGUGUUAACGGUAGCGUGUUUAGGGACGUUGUUCUGGAUGCAUCCACCCCUUGCGGCCCGCGGCUGGCGUCUACUCCAACUAAUUAUCUUAUUUCGUUUACUUCGUUGUGCCCGCCUGGUGACACUAUUGGUUGAAGUUCGAACCCGCGUUCUAUGUACGCAACUGGUUGAACUGCAACGGGAACGACACACAGCUGAGAACAAAUCAGAGGUGCUCAUCCUCAAAGUGGAGGAUCUCGAGCACGAAGUAGCUUAUCUGAAGGAAAAGCUAAAGAAGACUGAACGUGAGUUUGUUAGCUCAGGUUUGGGGAGUGAUGGGCGAAAAUCGACAGGCGGCGGAGGUGGCCACCGGAAGUUAAGGGAUACGUUCUCAUUGACAUCAUAUUGUGGAUCAGUCAUCGCGCUGGCAGCCGCGCCAGCGGGCCCUAGUCCAAUGGGCUCCAUAGUUGGAGACGUUUCGAUUCCAACGUUUUCCGACGUUUCGGGCGCGACGCCUCACCCGGGCACCGCCGGCGUGCCCACCUCAGCCGGGACAGGCUCGGGUUUUGACCAGGCCUCUGCUAUAACCGCCGGCAGUAUGAUACCGAAUCGGGUGGGUCUUAGUGCGAGUCAGCGUCUCAGCGGCGGAUUGGGCACAGGUGCGCAAGCUGUCUCGUGCGUCGGGAGCCGAGGUAAUAUUAGCCACAGUGUCCAGACCCAAACACGUGGGAAGAUUUGUGAGACGUGUGGGAUUCCACAGGACAUCGACUUCAUGGCCGCUCGUCUCAGCUAUCUCGCGCUGAAGCAAGCCAUCUCGGCGUUUCAAGUACAAAGUCAUAUCCAAAACAGCGGAAUUAGUGAUAAUAACAAGCAGAGCACUAGCGGGACGGCGAUUGCCGGUAGCGGGUUCGGUACCACUUCUAGCGUGGGCGGCUGUGCGGCUAGCGUCGGCGGAAGUCAUCUGACAACGAUUCUCGCCAGAGGAACAAGUAAUGGUGUAGGCGGGAUGGGUUCUGGGGCCGGACUGAAUCCUAUUCCAGUUACUACCAAUGCUAUUUCAUCUUGUGCAGAUGUUACUGGAGCCCAGAACACAUUGUCGGCAAGGCGGCAUCCUGCCCGUUUGCUUCCUGUUCCACUGAGCGUAGCCACCUCGCUUGUCUCUCCAGGUCUGUCAUCAAUUGAGAGCGGUUACUCCUCCUGUUUAUCGUCGGCCAGCCGACACCCACAUCUAUCAUCCGCUUCGCCAUACGGAAGUCUUGGGGAGAGCAUGCCGGCGAGCUGGUCAGCUGGUGUUUGCGGGGGCUCGGCUACAUUAUGUUGUCACUCGUCGUUAUCCCGUCGGGGUUCCCGCGGAACCGUCUUUCUCUUUCCCGAUUUACAGCGGCGUACCGACUCGCUCGAAUCGCAGGGUACCAUCUCGGUUGAGCUCAACAUCCUCGACGAGGUUGCCGAGGCUGAGCUCAGCCCUGCGCCAACGACCCUGCAAUCACCAUGACUGUCGCUUCCAUUGUCCGCCACUGGGAUUAGCCACACUGGUAGAUCAGAACAGCAGUUCCAGCUACAGCAGCGCGGCGGACAGAUCCCGGCUGCGGCUAUUCCGACUAGCAAUCGCGAACAGAUCCUGACGGGAGGGCCGUCAGUCGAGCCUGACAACACCCGAGCCGCUGCCGCCGCGGCUCACUCCGAAAGCCACAGGGCGAAUCCCCAGAAUCAACCGGAACACGACCACCCACCGGGGGCAAAUGCAGCAACGGCCGAUGUGCAAGAGCCGGACUCCGGCGAGGGCAGCCGCGAUGUAAACGCGCUGCACCACAUUAACCAGACAUCUUCAGUCACGGUGACGAUCCUAUUGCUAUUAUUUCAGGGCACGUGCAAAAUACCGAUGACGUUCUUGUGACUCAUCACUCAUCAUCGUCAUCACACUUUCUCAUAUUUAUCUUCUUCAUCGCCACUAUCCAACAUCUCGACAGGGCCCGCUAGGACGGCGACAUUAUCAUCACCUUUAUCCUUAUAUAGCCGAUCAUCAUUUUCACCGCGAUUUUCUUCCCCGAUAUUUUCUGUUGCGUUACCCGUAACUAGGGCUAUGAGGCUCUCUUCGUCGCUGAGAUCACUCUGUAUAUGUUUGUGAUAAUGGGACCAGCCCAUUUUCAUUCCACUAAUUUCGGUGGCGCCCAUAAAUCAACAAUAUGACAGAUGAUAGAAAAGUAUAGUCAAUAAGUGAGUGAAUCGAUCUUCAGAUUGAUAAAUAAAAACAUUUAACAUCCUGUGAAUAGACAGUGACAGAAACGCCGUUAAAUUAACACUAUAAGGGGACAACCGCGGCAGUAACUUCCAUUCACUCUCUUUUUCAAUUAACUUCCAAUAAAAGUGUUUUUCAGUAUUCAGUAGUUAGUUAGUUAGUUAUGCUGUUGUUACUGGUAUUCUUCCUUGCCCUACAGUUAUUAUUUGGAUAAUCGGAUCUAAGAACGGAUUUAUGUUCGAAUGAAAAUCAAAGGCAGAAGACAAAUGAUUACAAACAAUAGCAAGGAUAAUACAUACAUGUAUUCAAACGAGGAGCCAAUGUUACUGUAAUGGAUUGUUGCUAUUUAUUGCUUAGCAGAGAGUAUUGUGAGAUGAAAAAAUGGUUACUUUCGUUAUUGAUUAGACCGGUCGCGAGACACGUGUUAUAACAAUGAACGCAACAGAACGCAGUUCUAAUAUAUGGCCAUUGAUAAUAAUAACAAAAAAAAAAAAAACACAUGAGUAAAACAAUAAUGUCAAAGCAUCAUCCGAAAAAAAGCAACUGAGUGAUACAACACAAUUUCAAAACAAUAGACAGAGGUAAAUCAGCGACAUAGAUAAAUUAUCUCUGUUGCUGAUUUACUUGUCAUGAAAAUAUAUAAUAAGUGGUCUAGUUAUAUAUUUUUUGUCUCAGUUAAAUAUUGUAACAUCCAGCAGAUCGUAUGUAAUAUAAAUUUAGUAAAUAAUCAUUUGUUGCGAGGUAAGCGACCCCAAAUUGACGAGUGCUAUCGAUCAACCGAUCAAAAGCUCCUGCAACGUAGUGGACCGUGGAUGAACAAGUCGCGCCAUUGUAAGCAUGGCAAGCUGUCUGCUGACGUAUCAUCCGAAUAAAUUAAGGCAGACGUUAUUGGAGCGUACAGUUUGUCAAAUGCAGACUUCACUCGUGCGGUAAAGUGGUGUACUCUUCAUGGUUCUGUAUAUACGAACCAGGAAGUUUACCCAGAUGCCUUCAAUUUAAACAUUCGCGGGUUAAAGGUGUCUGGGUUUCGUUAGUACAUUUUUGGUUCGAGCAGAAGAUUCAACGCGUGUGAUGGAUAUAUAUUCGUCACUGCAAUAGAAACGAUUGCUAAGGUGAGGAUCGAAAUGAAGAGGAUCUGACUUUUAUCCGACGUAUGUAGUCUGGCCCAGGCGUUAGUUAAACUUGACGCGUUCUGUAAUUGUUAUUAUCUUAGCGUUGAACGCAGAGUUCAUGUCUAAUAGAUCUUUCCACAUUGGCAGGGAAAGCCCGAGAGACGUUGGCGGGCUAGUUGAUGCCCUUUCAAUAAAAGGGAGUUAAUGGUCUCCACAGUGUCAGUAUGGAUACAUCUAAUAGGAUGGUAGGAAUCGCCAAUUAAAUACUGAAGCUAAAUAUACAUUUUGGAGAAACAGUGACACGCUAUCGAGCCUUUUCGGCCAUGAAUCUUUGGAGGACGACAAUCAGACAAUCGAAAAUGCGAAACAUAUCGACCGAAGAACUGUUACAAAUGUCGUGCUUGACUGUGUUUCGAGUUUAGGGUCGUAUUAGGGCAGUACCGUCACGUACAAGUCGAGUCUGGUGUAGGGACACUGGCACAUAUCGAACCGAAAUGAACGAAAAUCCUAUGAACAAGAUAACGGGAACUGAAGAGGGCUAGCUUUCAAAGACAAAUACCCGCCAAAAACCUGUUGGUCCCAAGUGGAAAACUCACUCAUUUGAGGCCCGGAGUCCUAUACGCUAACAAGAUGUAGUCAGCCAAGGCCCUUCGUGACACAUAUGGACAAACUACAUAAUAAUAGCAAGAAAAUAUUUAAAAAGUGUAUCAGAUAAUCACUAAUGCAAUGGUGGGUACGCGCUUUUUAAAUACAGCGAUAACAGUGACGUCCCAUACACUUGUUCAUUAUGCAGUAAAGUGUGCAAGAAUGAAUUUAACUUAAAGUUGCGUGUCCGUAGAUACAAUACGAUGGUAUAUAUAUAUAGUACUACGCGUCCGGAAACGUGGUGAGACCCCACAACAAAACCAAUUGCUAAUACUUGUAAGUUAUUGUUUACCAUUUUAGUUCACAAUAAUAAAUUAAACAUUCGUCUUAGCUUACUUAGAUUGGCCAUCGCAUCUGAAGCGUCUCUCGGGAUAUCGUCCAACUACUUUCAUCUCGAUUGGUUUAGACAAGCAUAUCGGUAACUGCAGUACAAACUGCAUUAAUUCCAACGUAACAAUUUUAAGUUUAAUAAAUCAACCUUUCAAAUUACGGAUGACGGUGCAAAUCCGACUCCCGAUACUUGGUCUCUUUCACCUGU